UACGUAGGGGGCAAGCGUUGUCCGGAUUUAUUGGGCGUAAAGAGCGUGUAGGCGGUUCGGUAGGUCCGUUGUGAAAACUCGAGGCUCAACCUCGAGACGCCGAUGGAAACCAUCGAACUAGAGUCCGGAAGAGGAGAGUGGAAUUCCUGGUGUAGCGGUGAAAUGCGCAGAUAUCAGGAAGAACACCCGUGGCUAAGGCGGCUCUCUAGUACGGUACUGACGCUGAGACGCGAGAGCGUGGGGAGCGAACAGG
rnacentral:rRNA from 1 species